GACGAAUGCUGGCGGCGUGCCUAAUACAUGCAAGUAGAACGCUGAAGAGAGGAGCUUGCUCUUCUUGGAUGAGUUGCGAACGGGUGAGUAACGCGUAGGUAACCUGCCUUGUAGCGGGGGAUAACUAUUGGAAACGAUAGCUAAUACCGCAUAACAAUGGAUGACACAUGUCAUUUAUUUGAAAGGGGCAAUUGCUCCACUACAAGAUGGACCUGCGUUGUAUUAGCUAGUAGGUGAGGUAAUGGCUCACCUAGGCGACGAUACAUAGCGGACCUGAAAGGGUGAUCGGCCACACUGGGACUGAGACACGGCCCAGACUCCUACGGGAGGCAGCAGUAGGGAAUCUUCGGCAAUGGGGGCAACCCUGACCGAGCAACGCCGCGUGAGUGAAGAAGGUUUUCGGAUCGUAAAGCUCUGUUGUAAGUCAAGAACGGGUGUGAGAGUGGAAAGUUCACACUGUGACGGUAGCUUACCAGAAAGGGACGGCUAACUACGUG
rnacentral:rRNA from 1 species